rnacentral:rRNA from 1 species
AGUGGCGGACGGGUGAGUAACGCGUGAGAAUCUGCCUUCAGGUCGGGGACAAUAUUUGGAAACGAAUGCUAAUACCCGAUGUGCCGAGAGGUGAAAGGUUAACUACCUGAAGAUGAGCUCGCGUCCGAUUAGCUAGUUGGUGGUGUAAGAGACCCCCAAGGCGACGAUCGGUAGCUGGUUUGAGAGGACAAUCAGCCACACUGGGACUGAGACACGGCCCAGACCCCUACGGGAGGCAGCAGUGGGGAAUUUUCCGCAAUGGGCGAAAGCCUGACGGAGCAAUACCGCGUGAGGGACGAAGACCUGUGGGUUGUAAACCUCUUUUCUCAGGGAAGAAGAUCUGACGGUACCUGAGGAAUCAGCAUCGGCUAACUCCGUGCCAGCAGCCGCGGUAAGACGGAGGAUGCAAGCGUUAUCCGGAAUUAUUGGGCGUAAAGCGUCCGCAGGCGGUUUCGUAAGUCUGUCUUUAAAGAGUGGAGCUUAACUCCAUAAAGGGGAUGGAAACUGCGAGACUAGAGGUAGGUAGGGGUAGAAGGAAUUCCUAGUGUAGCGGUGAAAUGCGUAGAUAUUGGGAAGAACACCAGCAGCGAAGGCGUUCUACUGGACCAAACCUGACGCUCAUGGACGAAAGCUAGGGGAGCGAAAGGGAUUAGAUACCCCUGUAGUCCUAGCCGUAAACGAUGGACACUAGGUGUUGCAC